CUAAGAAUAUUGCGCAAUGGGCGAAGGCCUGACGCAGCGACACCGCGUGUGGGAUUAAGUCCCUAGGGAUGUAAACCACUGUGGCAGGGGAAGAAGUUCUGACGGUACCCUGCUAGAAAGCACCUGCUAACUACGUGCCAGAAGCCUCGGUAAUACGUAGGGUGCAAGCGUUAUCCGGAUUUACUGGGCGUAAAGCGUCUGUAGGCGGAUUUGUAAGUGGUGGGUUAAAGGCCACGGCCUAACUGUGGAAAAGCUCAUCAUACUGCAAGUCUUGAGUCUGUUAGGGGAGGUUGGAAUUCCCGGUGGAGGGGUGAAAUCCGUUGAUAUCGAGAGGAACGCCAAGGGCGAAGGCAGGCCUCUAGGGCAGCACUAACGCUGAGAGACGAAAGCUGGGGUAGCAAACGGGAUUAGAGACCCCGGUAGUCCCAGCUGUAAACGAUGGAUACUAGCUGGGCUUCUUAUGAAGUCUGGCGCAAGCUAACGCGUUAAGUAUCCCGCCUGGGGAGUA
rnacentral:rRNA from 1 species